rnacentral:lncRNA from 1 species
UAUGAUAUGCUCGGUGUUGGAGAAACGAUACUAUUUUUUAGGAUCAACAUUGACGUAUUCAAGGUGUAGUGCAAAAGAUCUUUUUGUUACAAGAUGAAUGCAUUUCUUACUAUCCAAAUCUUGGUCUGGACCAACACUCAUCGCAUUUCUUAGCUCAUUGGAUCCCCCUCUGGAAGGCUUGGCCCCUUAAGAUUGAAGACAAGGGAAAGAGAAGACAAACGGCGACAUCUGAAGGAAAUCAAAGUCAUUUAUAUCAGCUAUAUGAGACAAUGAAAUUUGGAAGAAUCCGACUUAUUGACAACUUGUUUGA